GCGUAUGUGGUGUAACGGUUAUCAUGGAUGCCUUCCAAGCAUUGGACAGAGGUUAAAUUCCCCACAAACGCA
rnacentral:tRNA from 1 species